rnacentral:rRNA from 1 species
AUACGAAAGGUGCAAGCGUUGUUCGGAUUUACUGGGCGUAAAGAGAUCGUAGGUGGUUUAUUAAGUCGGAUGUGAAAUCCCGGGGCUCAACCCCGGAACUGCAUUCGAUACUGGUAGACUAGAGUUUGGGAGGGGUAAGCUGAAUUCCGUGUGUAGCAGUGAAAUGCGUAGAUAUACGGAGGAACACCUGAGGCGAAGGCGGCUUACUGGACCAAUACUGACACUGAGGAUCGAAAGCGUGGGUAGCAAACAGGAUUAGAAACCCCUGUAGUCC